rnacentral:rRNA from 1 species
AUUGAACGCUGGCGGCAUGCUUUACACAUGCAAGUCGAACGGCAGCGCGGGCUUCGGCCUGGCGGCGAGUGGGGAACGGGUGAGUAAUGCAUCGGAACGUGCCCAGUAGUGGGGGAUAGCCCGGCGAAAGCCGGAUUAAUACCGCAUACGACCUGAGGGUGAAAGCGGGGGACCGAAAGGCCUCGCGCUAUUGGAGCGGCCGAUGUCGGAUUAGCUAGUUGGUGGGGUAAAGGCUUACCAAGGCGACGAUCCGUAGCUGGUCUGAGAGGACGACCAGCCACACUGGGACUGAGACACGGCCCAGACUCCUACGGGAGGCAGCAGUGGGGAAUUUUGGACAAUGGGGGCAACCCUGAUCCAGCCAUGCCGCGUGCGGGAAGAAGGCCUUCGGGUUGUAAACCGCUUUUGUUCGGGAAGAAAUCCUCUGGGCUAAUACCCCGGGGGGAUGACGGUACCGGAAGAAUAAGCACCGGCUAACUACGUG